rnacentral:rRNA from 1 species
UACAUGGGGUGCAAACGUUGCUCGGAAUCAUUGGGCGUAAAGCGCGCGUAGGCGGUUACUUAAGUUGGAUGUGAAAGCCCUCGGCUUAACUGAGGAAGUGCAUCCAAAACUGAGUAGCUAGAGUACGAAAGAGGGUCGCGGAAUUCCCGGUGUAGAGGUGAAAUUCGUAGAUAUCGGGAGGAACACCAGUGGCGAAGGCGGCGACCUGGGCCAAUACUGACGCUGAGGUGCGAAAGCGUGGGGAGCAAACAGG